rnacentral:lncRNA from 1 species
AGCGGCCGGUCGGAAGAACCUCGGGUGCUGGCGCGCCUGAAGUUGCAGACCAGACUGAAAUGUGCGAGACAUGUGCCUUUUUCUUAGGAAAGGCCCCAGGUACCAGAAAGGUUUUCAGCGCGCCGACCUACGGGGCUAAGAGGGCUGAAAUAAGAACCAGUGACUGAGCGCCGGGAGGUUUAAGGUUUAUGGAAGAUGUUCAUCGCGCCGUACCCUACUAGAGGUUUGGGGACGUGGGACACAGCCCCUGCGUUCCCGCCGCGGACCCCGUGAUAAAUACACAGACACACAAAAUCACUACCGCCUUGAAUCUGGACAGCUACCUCAGGUGGUUAAUAUCUAACAGGAGCAGAGUGGAGCUCAGAAAGACUCAGCGUGGGUGCUGGGUUCCGGCGCGACCAGCCUGAUACCUAGGUCAGCAUCUCAGCCACACAAGCAGGCGGCAGUUCUGUCAGGAAUUACUACAUCUGGUGAUUCCACUUCUCAUAGCUCACCGCUGGGAGAAUAAUUCCUCAGGAUUAACAAGAUCUAUUCCAGAGGAUCCUCACUGCUGAAGCGAUUUUAGAAGACAGUGUGGUCUGUUGACAGUAUGGAAUAUUCUUUACCCAUCAGAUAUGAUCUGUAUGUGAUUGGAAGGAAAUAAACCAACUGCUAACAACACUUCUCUAUAGAUGUUCAGAUUCAGUAAUUUUUGUAUUUUUCUCUACACUUUUGUUUUUUCAAAUUUCCUAGCACAAGAAGACUUUGACUUACUGCACAUGUCAUUUUAAAUGACCUUUAUAAAGACUCUAUAGAAACAAUUUGCUAUGUCAUGAAAGUAACAAUCAAAAAAAGUAUGCACAUUGUGGCCACAAAGUAAAACUUGUGUGGAAGAUUACAGAGUAAGCCGCCAGCAGAAGCAAUAAAGACAUUACUGGGCCUUUGCACUGCAACAUCAUGCCUCUGAAGAAAAAAAAAGUGCAAACAUUACAAUAGAUUCAGCUCCUUUAGUUCUCACUUCUGUCUCCACGUCAAGAUAAAAUACUGACAUUGAAAUAGAAUGGAUGACAUGCUUGAAAUGAGUCAUGUGCCUGAAAAGUCAUUAACAAACAACAGUUCCAGAGAAAAGCCAGGAAAAACUCCCCAUGGAUUUAGAGACAGAGCUCUCACCUUCAACAGGUUACUUUUUCCUUGUCUCAGGCUUCCUUGGAAAACAACCUAUAACUAACUUUCUGGGAGUAAAGCUUCAGGUGGAAGAACAAUUGGAUCAAACUUGGAAAACAUGCCCCCAGUUUGUCUACUCCAUUGAACUUUGCAUGCUUGGAGCCCCUGGCCUCAGCACACUCAAUCGCACAAGCCAGCCUGCAGCACCUGUACAGCACCAUGGGAGUCCCCUGCAGAGCUGCAACUUUGAGAGUGGGUAUAGUGACGUAACUCAGGUUCUUCAAGGGAUGAACACUCCAACUUUGAAACCACUAGCCUGUAGGUGUGGACGAAAAGGCAGCUGCAUGUUAUAAAACAAUAUUACUCAUA